rnacentral:rRNA from 1 species
CUGGCGGCAUGCUUUACACAUGCAAGUCGAACGGCAGCACGGGUGCUUGCACCUGGUGGCGAGUGGCGGACGGGUGAGUAAUACAUCGGAACGUAUCCAGAAGAGGGGGAUAACGCAUCGAAAGAUGUGCUAAUACCGCAUAUUCUCUGAGGAGGAAAGCAGGGGAUCGAAAGACCUUGCGCUUUGGGAGCGGCCGAUGUCUGAUUAGCUAGUUGGUGGGGUAAAGGCCUACCAAGGCGACGAUCAGUAGUUGGUCUGAGAGGACGACCAGCCACACUGGGACUGAGACACGGCCCAGACUCCUACGGGAGGCAGCAGUGGGGAAUUUUGGACAAUGGGCGCAAGCCUGAUCCAGCAAUGCCGCGUGAGUGAAGAAGGCCUUCGGGUUGUAAAGCUCUUUCAGUCGAGAAGAAAAAGCUGCAGUGAAUAACUGUAGUUCAUGACGGUAUCGACAGAAGAAGCACCGGCUAACUACGUG